rnacentral:rRNA from 1 species
UACGUAGGGUGCGAGCGUUGUCCGGAAUUAUUGGGCGUAAAGAGCUUGUAGGCGGUCUGUCGCGUCUGCUGUGAAAAUCCGGGGCUCAACCCCGGACUUGCAGUGGGUACGGGCAGACUAGAGUGCGGUAGGGGAGACUGGAAUUCCUGGUGUAGCGGUGAAAUGCGCAGAUAUCAGGAGGAACACCGAUGGCGAAGGCAGGUCUCUGGGCCACUACUGACGCUGAGGCGCGAAAGCGUGGGGAGCGAACAGG